rnacentral:lncRNA from 1 species
CAAUUUGGCACAGUGCCGAUUGCUUUCCAGACCGAGGAAAGAACUGACAGUUGGAUGAAGAAAGGUUUUGUGGAGGAAGUGCUAAUAGCAUUGACCUUCAGGAAGACGUCCUAUGCUGUUGUAGGCAAUCCUGGGUUGGUUAUUAUAGAAAGUGCAGAGGAGAUCACUGGAUCAGAGGACUUAGGCAAAAAGCACAAGUGGGCGUUCCUGAGGAAGCCAGCAGAUGAACUGCCCCAAAUCCAGGAGUCGUCUUGCAGCCUAUUCUGAGCUCCUUCUCAGUUUGUGUACAGAACCUCAUAAACCAAGAUAGACGGGGACUAUGAGAUCUUAUGGCAUCUCAAGGGGCAGAAGUCUGGACAGGAAGACAAAUUGCAUGGUGGAGGAUUCCCAAAGUAGACCACGUGUGUGCCAGCCCAGCAGGCAAACUGCCCCGUAUGUGUUUGUCCAUCAACUAUGCGCGCAGAGCUUUACUCACGUGCAUGACACAGGAAGCCCAAGGGACACGUCCCCAGCAUGCCCCGCUUCCUCUGCACUCCUGGAAGGAAGACCUGUUCUUGUUUCUUCCGUACUCUCAGGAUCUGGCACAGAACCCGACAAAGGAUAUGACUUGCAGAUGUCGAGAUGGAACCUCACCAGGGCUUCCUUCUGAAAUGAAACUUCCAGAAAGCAGCAGACAGACCACAGAACAUCCUUCCUAGAAAAAGAAAAGCCGUCUAUAGACCAGCAACAGCUCUGAUCACAUGACUGCAAGCAAGGUUUCCAAAGAAAUCAAAAUGAUAGCUUAAAGAAUGCACA